rnacentral:snRNA from 1 species
AAACCUGAAAGUGGUUUUCCUAGGGUGAAGGUGAUCCUUUGCACUGGGGAUUUGCUGACCCCUGUGAUUUCCCCACAUUGAGGAAACUUGACUGCAUAAUUUGUGCUGGUGGAGGAUUGCAUCUGCACUUCCCCC